UACGUAGGGUGCGAGCGUUGCCCGGAUUUAUUGGGCGUAAAGGGCGCGUAGGCGGCUACGCACGUCCGUUGUGAAAUCGCUCGGCUCAACUGGGCGGGGUCAGCGGAUACGGUGUAGCUGGAGCAAGCUAGGGGGCAAUGGAAUUCCCGGUGUAGUGGUGGAAUGCGUAGAUAUCAGGAGGAACACCAGUGGCGAAGGCGGCUACCUGGCCCACUCUUGACGCUGAGGCGCGAAAGCUAGGGGAGCAAACGGG
rnacentral:rRNA from 1 species